UGGGGUGUGACUCAGUGGCAGAGUGCUUGCCUAGCAUGUGUGAGACUCUGAGUUCAAUUUUCAACACUGCAA
rfam:Ictidomys tridecemlineatus contig126854, whole genome shotgun sequence.